CGCUCUGUAAAUGAUCAUUAGCAUUGAUAUUAGUAGGGAAUACUACACAGUCAGAGACAGGUGAGCAGAGGUGGGCACAGUGCUGGGAGGCCCCCAACACAGGGGCUUCUUGGAGUACUGGUUUAUUGUUGUCUCUUGGCAUGAUUUUGUCUGAAUAGUCGUGCUGGGUUUGUGGAGCUCUCUGAGACGCACACCUCCUGACAGCACUCUUUUCUUAUAAACAGCUCGAGCAACAAGGCAGGCAUGACAGCUACUCACCAGGAGAAACAGAGGGCUGAUGGCCACCCAGCAGAUCCUCCAAAACCAUCCCGGGCUGAAGCCCAGCAUCUCCUUCACAUCGCUGCAGAACUGAGUGAUUCCUGGAAUUACCCAAAGGACAAGUUGACAGGGCAGGGUCAACACUGGCGAUGGCAUGACCAGAGUGGGGGCUCCUCCCUGAGCCGACCCUCUUCUGCCUCCACUCACCGUGCUGUCCAAUCCCAGCGUGAUUAACAUGAGGAAGAAGAUGAUGGCAAAGAACGUGGAUGCUGGCAUGUUGGCUAUUGCCUCUGCAUACGUGAUGAAGAGGAGGCUGGGGCCUGAAACACGGGGAGAGAGGAGGCGGCUGAGACCCAUCCCACAGCAGACUGGAUCUCAGUCAGUUCACAGUUCGCAUCGCAUCAGGUCAGGCUCUGUCAGCGCCAAAUGCUGCUUCAUUCACCAUAUCGCACAUUCCGAAAAGCCAGAGGGGAGAUUAUCCACCUUGAAAAUGGCGUCUUCAGCUUGGGGGCACAGGGUAGACGUAAGGCAGCGACUACACAGGCCCAGGGGCUCCACUCGAGGCGAUGCUGUGUGGCCGUCAGGGUCAGGCCUGCUGUUUCUAAAGUGCCCAGUGACAUCCUCAGCUCAGAUUAGCAGGAAGUGUAGUAAGAACAGCCUGCUAUUUUUUAUGUCACAUUUGGGGUCCUCUGGACAGAUCUCCAGCACCUGAACACCAAGUGCCUACCACUGACCUACAUCCCCGGCCCUGAAAGUCCUUUUGACAGUGUGACAAGUCCUCAGCCCCUCGCUGGCUGACAUAGGGAUGCUGUCAUUUGGACAAAGCGCUACAUCAGGCCAAAAUGAAAAUACUUCUCUAGACCACGGGACUCUAUGUACUUGGUCUCAUUGUUUAAUAUCUGUUACAUGAUUUCCCAUGAAAACCCCAAGCAACAUGACAUCAGUAGUUAUCUGCCUACUAGACCGAAUCCCACCACAAGUGCCUAACCCUACCACACCCUUCAUAUUUUUAAGCCAUGUAUUGAGGGCCCCAGCACUGGGCACCAAGACAACCGAAUGCAUGGGUGGAUUGAGCUUACCAAGGCCUUCAAAUCUUUGAAAACUUAAAAGAACAGUUGAAAGUUUAGCUAUUCAAGAGCUGGAGAGAUGGCUCAGUGGUUAAGAGCACCCGACUGCUCUUCCAGAGGUCCUGAGUUCAAUUCCCAGCAACCACAUGGUGGCUCACAACCAUCUGUAAUGAGAUCCGAUGCCCUCUUCUGGUGUGUCUGAAGACAGCUACAAUGUACUACUCAUAUACAUAAAGUAAAUACAUCUUUUUUAAAAAGAGUAAAAGUCCCAGUCCUGUGAACAGAUCUCCUGGUCCUACCUGCGUCUUUGGCCACCUCUGACACAUCUUCAUUCCUCAUCUCCGCCAUGUAGCCAAGCACCGUGAAGAUGACGAAGCCAGAGACGAAGCUUGUCAUGCAGUUCACCACACUGGUCACCAGGGCAUCUCUGCAGUGGGAACCCAGACACGGCCAUAAGCCAGUUACAGGAGCACAUUCCUAUAAUCCCAUCCCUUGGAAGGCUGAGUGAGGCAGGAGGAUUGUGAGUUCAAGGCUCAGGAUGAACUGUAGAGCUAGGUGGGAAAGGGGACCUGAACACACACACACACACACACACACACACACCCCACUCUGAAGUAGAGAGGCACUGCCCUGGAGCCUGGUCUUAACUGGAAGGCUCCAGGAAGGGGCUUUGACCUCACAUCUGUAAAACUGAAAGUUUAAUAUUAUCUUUAAAUAAAACCAUAAGUCUGCCAAGGAGAAACAUUGAUGGUUUUAAACCUUCCUUAGAUAGCUUUAGCUGGUAUCCCAACACAAGGCCACAUUCCUUGGGGUGAGUCCACCCCCAUCUUUAGAAAUAAUUUCAUAGUUCUCUUUCUUUUUUUUUUUUUUUCUUUUCUUUUUUUCGGAGCUGGGGACCGAACCCAGGGCCAUGCGCUUGCUAGGCAAGUACUCUACCACUGAGCUAAAUCCCCAACCCCCGUAGUUAUCUUUCUAAUAGUACAAACAGACCACUGGGCCUUGCCACCAGUACAAGAAGAUUUACCGUCUAAAGCUGCAAGUGACACCCAAGCCAUCACAGGAGCGAUGCUACUGUUUGGUUGAAAUAUCGAAGCAUGACUCCACCACAAUCGUGACAUUGUUUUGUAAGCUAAAAUAGUUCAGUCCAUAGACUUUUUGUGCAUACAUAAAUAAUCUGUUUAGUUUUUCACUGUGAAGUAACUAGUGUAUGCUGCAUUUUUUGUAACCUUGCUAUAACAUGCCCUUGUCUUGUUUGAAGCAGGAUCUCACAUGACCUGUUCAAGGCAACGGUGAACUCAGUAUGUAGUUGAGAGUGGCCUUGAAUGCCUCACUCUUCAGUCUCCACCUCCCAAGUGCCGGGACUAUGGGGAUGUACCUCCCAACCCCAAGUAAGAAUAUACAUAAUCUAUAUCAGAAAAUGGAAGUGUCUUGGAGACUCCUGACCUCUGACCUCUGAGUAGCCCAGGUCAAGUCAGUUCCUGAAUGGGCACUACGUCAUGGAUGAAUGGCCAGGAGUUUGUGACACCCCUUUAGGGGCAGUACUCUGGUGGUGUGGGGACAGACAGGUUUGAGAUCAUCGUCUUCCUUGAACUGUCUUGUCUGUUCAUCCAUUCCCGAUCUUUGCUCGGUAACCCCACAUACUCACUGGUAACAGUUGUUGUUGAACUUGUUGUAGCUAGCAAAAGC